CACCACCGUCACCGUAAUCCACACCCAGGCACUGACCGAAGCAUCUCCCAGCCGUAAGCCCCAUUACUUAUUCAAGAACACCUACUUACUGUUGAUUACUUACUCUGCUGUGCAGAUCGCAGGAUCCUCUGGGCUGAACGCCGCAUGUGAUGUCCCUAUGAAAGGAGGUGGACACAAGAAUUAUUCUUUUCCUGGUUACAACCGAAGCAUCUCCCAGCCGAGGUGAAUUUCUGGGACGUUUGGGCUGGCGUGUGGAGGUAUUCGAGGACUAUUGUGGGGUUUCGGCUAUCUGGCUGUGCAACAGUUAUAUCAGCGAUCGAGUGGAGAUAUUCGGGACAGAAAGAGUGUGAGUUCUGGAAAGCAAGUGGAGACCAGGCCGUGCCAUCCCUAUCGGAGGGAAGUUAAGAGAUCUGAUCUGGGACUUCGAUCAAUUGUAUACAUCUGGACUGGGAGUGAUAACGUUGUGAAGUGGACGGAGCCAUCGUUGGAUCGCAGGAUCCUCUGGGCUGAACGCCGCAUGUGAUGUCCCUAUGAAAGGAGGUGGACACAAGAAUUAUUCUUUUCCUGGUUACAACCGAAGCAUCUCCCAGCCGUAAGCCCCAUUACUUAUUCUAGAACACAUACUUACUGUUGGUUACUUACUCUGCGGUGCAGAUCGCAGGAUCCUCUGGGCUGAACGCCGCAUGUGAUGUCCCUAUGAAAAGAGAUUGCAGGAUCCUCUGGGCUGGACGCUGCAUGUGAUGUCCCUGUAAAAGGAGGUGGACACGAGAAUUAUUCCUUUUCCCGGUCUCGACCGAAACAUCCACGAGCUCUACUUACCCGGAUAUCCCCCCCUCAUUCCGGGACGGGUGACAGACUAUCCUGGCUCUUGCCGGCCCCGUACAGGCACGAACUGCCGACGACUCCACGCCUCCCCGGCGUCCGAGGUCUGGCUUCGUUCUGGUCGGGAGACACGGAAGGAACACUGAACUUUUAAAUUGCUUUUAACCAAAUAAAACCUUGUUCAAUUUUUUUUAUACUCUCGUCCGUCUGGUUCUUCUGGUACGCUCUCUGAGGUGAUCCUGGGUUUCAGGGGCGGGUGCAGUCCGGCUUGGCCCCCCCGACCUGUGACAUUUGC
ensembl:lncRNA